CUUGAAGAAGGACAAAGACACCACCGUCGAUGGCUAUAUCACUCACCAUUGUUUGAAUAAACUACUUUGACGAGACACACAUGGUUUGUUUCCUAAGUACUGGUUGGUACACAAACCACCCAAGUUAUGCUCUCUAGUGUUACCUCAUUUUAUGCCAACUCAGAUAGGUCUUAGUUUUGUUCGAAAUAGAGUUUUGUUCCUCCACGGCACCAAUUAUGGAGUUGUACAUUUAUCUCUUACACAGAAUUCGUGUAUAUGGCACCAUCUGGUGUUUCUUACAAACACACACC
rnacentral:lncRNA from 1 species